UACGUAGGGUGCAAGCGUUAAUCGGAAUUACUGGGCGUAAAGCGUGCGCAGGCGGUUUUGUAAGUCUGUCGUGAAAGCCCCGGGCUCAACCUGGGAAUUGCGAUGGAGACUGCAAGGCUUGAAUCUGGCAGAGGGGGGUAGAAUUCCACGUGUAGCAGUGAAAUGCGUAGAUAUGUGGAGGAACACCGAUGGCGAAGGCAGCCCCCUGGGUCAAGAUUGACGCUCAUGCACGAAAGCGUGGGGAGCAAACAGG
rnacentral:rRNA from 1 species